rnacentral:rRNA from 2 species
AAAUUGAAGAGUUUGAUCAUGGCUCAGAUUGAACGCUGGCGGCAGGCCUAACACAUGCAAGUCGAACGGUGACAGGAAGCAGCUUGCUGCUUCGCUGACGAGUGGCGGACGGGUGAGUAAUGUCUGGGAAACUGCCUGAUGGAGGGGGAUAACUACUGGAAACGGUAGCUAAUACCGCAUAAUGUCGCAAGACCAAAGAGGGGGACCUUCGGGCCUCUUGCCAUCGGAUGUGCCCAGAUGGGAUUAGCUUGUUGGUGGGGUAACGGCUCACCAAGGCGACGAUCCCUAGCUGGUCUGAGAGGAUGACCAGCCACACUGGAACUGAGACACGGUCCAGACUCCUACGGGAGGCAGCAGUGGGGAAUAUUGCACAAUGGGCGCAAGCCUGAUGCAGCCAUGCCGCGUGUAUGAAGAAGGCCUUCGGGUUGUAAAGUACUUUCAGCGG